UACGUAGGCAGCGAGCGUUGUUCGGAGUUACUGGGCGUAAAGAGUGCGUAGGCGGUUUUCUAAGUUUGGUGUGAAAUCUCCCGGCUUAACUGGGAGGGUGCGCCGAAGACUGGAAGGCUUGAGUAUGGGAGAGGUAAGCGGAAUUCCUGGUGUAGCGGUGAAGUGCGUAGAUAUCGUAAGGAAGACCAGUGGCGAAGGCGGGUCUCUGGACAGUUCCUGACGCUGAGGCACGAAGGUCAGGGGAGCAAACGGGAGUUAGA
rnacentral:rRNA from 1 species